rnacentral:rRNA from 1 species
GUACACUCCUGCGGGAGGCAGCAGUGGGGAAUUUUGGACAAUGGGCGAAAGCCUGAUCCAGCAAUGCCGCGUGUGUGAAGAAGGCCUUCGGGUUGUAAAGCACUUUUGUCCGGAAAGAAAUCCUUGGCUCUAAUACAGUCGGGGGAUGACGGUACCGGAAGAAUAAGCACCGGCUAACUACGUGCCAGCAGCCGCGGUAAUACGUAGGGUGCGAGCGUUAAUCGGAAUUACUGGGCGUAAAGCGUGCGCAGGCGGUUUGCUAAGACCGAUGUGAAAUCCCCGGGCUCAACCUGGGAACUGCAUUGGUGACUGGCAGGCUAGAGUAUGGCAGAGGGGGGUAGAAUUCCACGUGUAGCAGUGAAAUGCGUAGAGAUGUGGAGGAAUACCGAUGGCGAAGGCAGCCCCCUGGGCCAAUACUGACGCUCAUGCACGAAAGCGUGGGGAGCAAACAGGAUUAGAUACCCGGGUAGUCUCA